UGGCGAUAAGAACCUGCGUGUUCUCUUAC
rnacentral:piRNA from 1 species